GGGACACGUGGUAUCCUGUCUGAAUAUGGGGGGACCAUCCUCCAAGGCUAAAUACUCCUGACUGACCGAUAGUGAACCAGUACCGUGAGGGAAAGGCGAAAAGAACCCCGGCGAGGGGAGUGAAAAAGAACCUGAAACCGUGUACGUACAAGCAGUGGGAGCCUCUUAAUGGGGUGACUGCGUACCUUUUGUAUAAUGGGUCAGCGACUUAUAUUCUGUAGCAAGGUUAACCGAAUAGGGGAGCCGAAGGGAAACCGAGUCUUAACUGGGCGUUAAGUUGCAGGGUAUAGACCCGAAACCCGGUGAUCUAGCCAUGGGCAGGUUGAAGGUUGGGUAACACUAACUGGAGGACCGAACCGACUAAUGUUGAAAAAUUAGCGGAUGACUUGUGGCUGGGGGUGAAAGGCCAAUCAAACCGGGAGAUAGCUGGUUCUCCCCGAAAGCUAUUUAGGUAGCGCCUCGUGAAUUCAUCUCCGGGGGUAGAGCACUGUUUCGGCAAGGGGGUCAUCCCGACUUACCAACCCGAUGCAAACUGCGAAUACCGGAGAAUGUUAUCACGGGAGACACACGGCGGGUGCUAACGUCCGUCGUGAAGAGGGAAACAACCCAGACCGCCAGCUAAGGUCCCAAAGUCAUGGUUAAGUGGGAAACGAUGUGGGAAGGCCCAGACAGCCAGGAUGUUGGCUUAGAAGCAGCCAUCAUUUAAAGAAAGCGUAAUAGCUCACUGGUCGAGUCGGCCUGCGCGGAAGAUGUAACGGGGCUAAACCAUGCACCGAAGCUGCGGCAGCGACACUAUGUGUUGUUGGGUAGGGGAGC
rnacentral:rRNA from 2 species